CGCCGCGUGAACGAAGAAGGCCUUCGGGUCGUAAAGUUCUGUUGUUAGGGAAGAACAAGUACCAGAGUAACUGCUGGUACCUUGACGGUACCUAACCAGAAAGCCACGGCUAACUACGUGCCAGCAGCCGCGGUAAUACGUAGGUGGCAAGCGUUGUCCGGAAUUAUUGGGCGUAAAGCGCGCGCAGGUGGUUCCUUAAGUCUGAUGUGAAAGCCCACGGCUCAACCGUGGAGGGUCAUUGGAAACUGGGGAACUUGAGUGCAGAAGAGGAAAGUGGAAUUCCAAGUGUAGCGGUGAAAUGCGUAGAGAUUUGGAGGAACACCAGUGGCGAAGGCGACUUUCUGGUCUGUAACUGACACUGAGGCGCGAAAGCGUGGGGAGCAAACAGGAUUAGAUACCCUGGUAGUCCACGCCGUAAACGAUGAGUGCUAAGUGUUAGAGGGUUUCCGCCCUUUAGUGCUGCAGCUAACGCAUUAAGCACUCCGCCUGGGGAGUACGGCCGCAAGGCUGAAACUCAAAGAA
rnacentral:rRNA from 1 species